GCUGUGGUGGUGUAAUGGUCAGCAUUGGUGCCUCGCAAGCACGAAGACCUGGGUUCGAGUCCCGGCCGCAGCA